rnacentral:rRNA from 1 species
GACAGGGGUGGCAAGCGUUGUUCGGAGUGACUGGGCGUAAAGGGUCUGUAGGUGGUUUUUCAAGUCCUUGGUAAAAAGCUGUGGCUCAACCACAGUGCGGCCAAGGAGACUGGGAGACUCGAGGCUGGGAGAGGGAAGCGGAAUUUCUGGUGUAGCGGUGAAAUGCGUAGAGAUCAGAAAGAAGGCCGGUGGCGAAGGCGGCUUCCUGGAACAGACCUGACACUGAGAGACGAAAGCGUGGGGAGCAAACAGG